rnacentral:piRNA from 1 species
UCCACAAGUCCCUGCUGGGGCUGGCCUAGA